UUGGGCUACGGGGACAUGUUCCCCAGGACGUGGUCGGGAAUGUUGGUAGGUGCCUUGUGCGCCCUGGCAGGUGUGCUGACCAUCGCCAUGCCCGUGCCUGUCAUUGUCAACAAC
rfam:Takifugu rubripes chromosome, Chr_5